GGCUGCAAGUGGAAAACGACCGGCGCCGCGGGGGCUGCAGGCGCUUCCGCCCCCGCCCCGGGCCUGGACCUUCGGGGUCACCUGACUCCGACCUGCCCGGGCCGGGCGGCGCGGGGGGUAAAGUCCGGGCCGGGGUCAAGAGCGCGGCUGCAGGCCGUGGGGGGCGGGGUCCCGGAGUUCUGCCCCUCGCAGCUCCAGGCCCCUCCUCAGCUUCCCUCUCCUGCCUCCCACCCCCCCGGGGGCGGGGCGACCCUGGGCGCCGAGACCGCGGGUGGGGGAUGCGGGGAGACCCUGGGCGGGGGACCCGAAGGUGGAGUGGGCGGGGCGACCUUGGGCGCUGGCCUCAGCCUGCGGGCCCUGGAGCCAGGUGCACAGCGCAUCGCCCGAGGCUGUCACCGCCCCGCCCGUCCCCUCCCACCCCAGCUGUCCUGGACCCAGGGGCAGGGAGAGGCUGGACGCCAGGUGCGCGGACACAGACACGCCUGAGCACAGCUUCCUCCUUGCCGCUCCGGGAAGUGGGCAGCCAGCCCAGGAACCAGUACCACCUGCACCAUGGGGCUGUCCCGGAAGGAGCAGGUCUUCUUGGCCCUGUUGGGGGCCUCGGGGGUCUCAGGCCUCACUGCACUCAUUCUCCUCCUGGUGGAGGCCACCAGCGUGCUCCUGCCCACAGACAUCAAGGUGCGUCCCUGCCGGCAGGGGAGGCCGGGCCGGGUCCACAGGUGUUGCCUCCCACUCAUCCCACUGUCUCCCCAGUUUGGGAUCGUGUUUGAUGCGGGCUCCUCCCACACGUCCCUCUUCCUGUAUCAGUGGCCGGCGAACAAGGAGAAUGGCACGGGUGUGGUCAGCCAGGCCCUGGCCUGUCAGGUGGAAGGGCCUGGAAUCUCCUCCUACACUUCUAAUCCUGCGCAGGCUGGUGAGAGCCUGCAGGGCUGCUUGGAGGAGGCUCUGGUGCUGAUCCCAGAGGCCCAGCAUCGGAAAACACCCACGUUCCUGGGGGCCACGGCUGGCAUGAGGUUGCUCAGGUGAGGCAGGCAUGGCCUUAGCACCCACGGGGAGUGGCUGCAGAAGCCAUGGUCUCAGCCAGCGUGGCAGGCAGGGUGGGGCCGGGCCCAGGCUUCCAGCCAGCUCCAGCCCCUGGUCCUCUGUGCCCAGCCAGAAGAACAGCUCUCAGGCCAGGGACAUCUUUGCAGCAAUCACCCAGGUCCUGGGCCGGUCUCCCGUGGACUUUUGGGGUGCUGAGCUCCUGGCCGGGCAGGACGAAGGUGCCUUUGGUUGGAUCACUGUCAACUACGGCUUGGGGACGCUGGUCAAGGUGCCACAGGCAGCCUGAGGGCGGGGGCUGGUCUGCGAGGGGCUGGUGUCUGGGGCUGGCUGACUGGGGCGGGGUCCGGGUGGCUGCUCCCAGCUGAGUGGCCCCUUCUGUGCCCAGUACUCCUUCACUGGAGAAUGGAUCCAGCCUCCGGAGGAGACGCUGGUGGGCGCCCUGGACAUGGGGGGGGCCUCCACCCAGAUCACGUUCAUGCCUGGGGGCCCCAUCUUGGACAAGAGCACCCAGGCCGAUUUUCGCCUCUACGGCUCCGACUACAGCGUCUACACUCACAGCUACCUCUGCUUUGGACGGGACCAGAUGCUGAGCAGGCUCCUUGUGGGGCUGGUGCAGAGCUGCCCGGCUGCCCUGCUCCGUCACCCGUGCUACCUCAGCGGCUACCAGACCACACUGGCCCUGGCCCCGCUGUAUGAGUCACCCUGUGUCCACACCACACCCCCGCUGAGCCUCCCCCAGAACCUCACAGUUGAAGGGACAGGCAACCCUGGGGCCUGCGUCUCAGCCAUCCGGGAACUUUUCAACUUCUCCAGCUGCCAGGGCCAGGAGGACUGUGCCUUCAACGGGGUCUACCAGCCCCCGCUGCAGGGCCAGUUCUAUGCCUUCUCCAACUUCUACUACACCUUCCACUUCCUGAAUCUCACCUCCGGGCAGCCCCUGAGCACGGUCAACGCCACCAUCUGGGAGUUUUGCCAGAGGCCCUGGAAACUGGUGGAAGCCAGCUACCCUGGGCAGGACCGCUGGCUGCGGGACUACUGUGCCUCAGGCCUGUACAUCCUCACCCUCCUGCAUGAGGGCUACGGGUUCAGCGAGGAGACCUGGCCCAGCCUCGAGUUCCGAAAGCAGGCGGGCGGUGUGGACAUUGGCUGGACACUGGGCUACAUGCUGAACCUGACCGGGAUGAUCCCGGCCGACGCGCCGGCUCAGCGGUGGGCAGCGAGCGACGGCAUCUGGGUGGCCAAAGUGGUGUUCAUGGUGCUGGCCCUGGUGGCGGUGGUGGGGGCUGCCUCGGUCCAGCUCUUCUGGUUGCAGGACUAGUGGGAAGGCGGAGGUGGCCCCCACAGAGCCCACAGGCGGCUGUGUCCCGGACGCCGGAGGCUUCCUGAGCCCUGAGCGCCGUGGGGCCUUGCUCUGUGGCUCUGCCCACGGUCAGGUGACAGCCACCUCCAGGGCACCGUCAGGGUGAUGCUGGCCACAGAGGCUGCACGGCCUCCCCUCCCGGCGUCCCUGCCCGCCCCCCGCCUUCCGCAACUGGGCUUCCAGGGCCGUAGGUGCCUUUCCGCACGCAGGCCGCCAGGACUCGUGGUGUCUCCAGGCUGUGUGACUGCAGGGCCACAUGCUGCCUGCAAACAGAGCAAGACCACGGAGGCACAGGGGUCCUGCUCCUGACGGGGCCUCAGGAGGGGCGGAGAGGGGCGGAGGGGAGGGAGCUGCCCCGCCUGGACCCCCGCUCUCCCUGUUGUUGUCUGAGCGGAUAGAUGGAGUCCAGGCCUGGGGGCUUCUGCUGGGCCAGCCCGGCUUCCCACACCCACUUGGAGGGUUAGACUGCAGUGGGGGUUGUUUUUAUUAAAGCUCGUGGACACAGCA
rnacentral:sRNA from 1 species